rnacentral:rRNA from 1 species
GAUGAACGCUGGCGGCGUGCCUAAUACAUGCAAGUCGAGCGAACGGACGCGAAGCUUGCUUCUCUGAUGUUAGCGGCGGACGGGUGAGUAAAACGUGGAUAACCUACCUAUAAGACUGGGAUAACUUCGGGAAACCGGAGCUAAUACCGGAUAAUAUUUUGAACCGCAUGGUUCAAAAGUGAAAGACGGUCUUGCUGUCACUUCUAGAUGUAUCCGCGCUGCAUUAGCUAGUUGGUAAGGUAACGGCUUACCAAGGCAACGAUGCAUAGCCGACCUGAGAGGGUGAUCGGCCACACUGGAACUGAGACACGGUCCAGACUCCUACGGGAGGCAGCAGUAGGGAAUCUUCCGCAAUGGGCGAAAGCCUGACGGAGCAACGCCGCGUGAGUGAUGAAGGUCUUCGGAUCGUAAAACUCUGUUAUGAGGGAAGAACAUAUGUGUAAGUAACUGUGCACAUCUUGACGGUACCUAAUCAGAAAGCCACGGCUAACUACGUG